UCCGUUUCCUUUGUUUUUCUUAAAGGAUAUUGCUCUGCAUUUAUUGGUACAAAGAACAUUUUGUUCUAAAUGAUUAUUAAUGGAUUUAUUAUAAAUUUUUCCAGUCAGUCUAAUGUUUGGAAUAAUAUAAAAACGAGCCUUAUUACAGAUUGUAGACUUGAUAACCAGGAUUGCAAAUUCAAACUUUCUUAGUAUGAAUGUAAGAUGAUGGCAAGCUGGGAGUCUCUCGUGAACGAAGGAGGUCCUAAUCAGGGCACUGCAAUUCUAAAUGUCUGUUGGCAAGUGGCGAUGCCAGACGUUUGAAAUUUACUUAUCAUUUAUUAGUCAGAAUUGCAGUGCCUUGAUUUGGGCUUUGUCUGUUCCUGUAACCGCCAUGCUAGGGGAGGGAAAUGCUGCUGCAAAUGUGAGCGCUGCUACUGUUAGGAAUGAAAGAGAUGCUGCAAUCUUCGUGAGAGAUCAUCAAAUAUGCUAUUUUGUUGGGGAAUCAUUCAGCAGAUACUAGGAAGUUGCUUAUGUUAGCUUUUUCUUCAGGGAGAAUCUUAUCAUCUGAUUGUGAUACCUAUUUCCUUGUAGUGGUAUAUAUACUGCCUAUUUAAGAGACUUAUUUUGAAUAAGAUGGCAAGUUUCAGAUUUGUGUUAUUGCCAUUUUCAAUCUGUUCAUAAUUCUUGCUCCAAUUCUCACAUUAUUGAAAUAUUCCUGUCUUAUUGUC
rnacentral:lncRNA from 1 species